CCCUCAGGUCCAGACCCUGAGUUCUCUAAGUCCUGGAACCCUUGUAGGUCAGUAUCUCUCUUGGCUGUGACACUCACUGCACUCCCGAGCAGAGCACAAAAUAUUUACACAGCCGCAGAAGGAGCUGUCUGGAGCCAGGAAGAUCAGGCAGCGGCUGACUGAAAGUGAUAGAUGUGCCGGAGAGUGGCUGCUGACAGUGGACUGUGGAGAGCAUGUGGAUUGCAGAGAGCGGGCUCUGGAAGGCAGAGUGGCAAGAGCAAGCAAGGUGGAGAUGUGAGGCAAGCUCUUCGAGGUCCAUCUUUGGAAACUUUCUGGGUUGAAUAUUCUACAGGACACAGUGACAGAAUAUUCUACAGGAGUGAAACACCUUCUGUGUUUGGAGGGAGAGAAGACAGAGAACAGAGAGCAAAGGAAGUUUCUCUUUUUAAAAGCUUUUUAUUUUUUGUUUUUAUUCAUUCUUAUAUGUCACAACUAUUCUAUGUUAGUCACAGAAAGAAACUUAGACCAUUGCAUGGCCUCUCACAUCGGCCACAUUGAAGGCAGAAUGACCUAUUCUAAGCCAUAGAUUAAAACAAUAAUGAGGGUUCUGUGCUGGUUAAUCUUCAUUGUCAACAUGGAUGAUUUAGAAGAUUGAGACACAAUUCUGUCUGUCUAUGAAAGAGUUUAAGACAGGAUUUAUUGAGGGGUAAAGACUUCCUGAAAGUGGACAGCUGGUCUUCAGGGUAUGCCAGACUCCCUGAGAAGUAGCCUCUGAUACCAGUGAAGCUAGCAAGAUCAAGACAAACAGGCAAAGAGCAAACUUCCUUUUUCCAUUUCCUCCCACCUCAAAGAUCUGGAUUGGAAAUGGAUCUUCCAAACGGGGCGUGGUGAUGCCUGCCUUUAAUUCCAGCACUUGGAAGGUGGAGGCAGGUGGAUCUCUAAGUUCGAGACCAGACUGGUCUACAGCGCAAGUUCUAGGACAGCUACGUAGAGAAAUCCUGUCUCAAACAAACAAACAACAACAACAACAAAAACAAAACCAAAAAGAACUGCAUCUUUCCCACUUCAAAAGAUCUGACUAAGCAAAAAUUUCCUCACAGGUCGCAUUCUCAUGUUGUCCUCUAAAACCGCGAAGUGGGGCAGGCAGUCAAGAGAGAUUUGACCGAAGCAGAAGAGGCAGUCCCCAAGUUAUCAAGGUCAGCAACGCAUUUCUUCUGUUGGGAACAGCCAGCUGGUGGUUAAGGCCGUUCCUCCAGGCCGUUCUACUCCAGGUAGCAAGAGAAGUCAUGUUUGGCCCAGCAGUUAUGCUGUGAUAGAUUAUUUCCUCAGACUGUGAGCUCCGAUCAGGCCUCCAUUCUUUAAUCAACUUCUUGUCAGGUAUUUGGCCACAGCAACAAGAAAAGGAGCAAAUACAGGCGUUGUGCAAAAAUGAGCUCCAU